UUCAGUUUUUGAGUUUGCUCUUCGGGAUUUUAUUGUAUUUAUAUUUUUUGUGUUUUCGUAACAUUAAACUGGCGUCGAACGACAGCGCAUUUGUUUCAUUAGCGAACACACCGUCUGUGGCGACCAGCGCAGCGGGGAGACGAGGCUAAACAGCCGACUCUGAUUCAUCCUCAGAUGAUAAUUUACUAAUCUCAAAUCCAAGUGCCUGAAACCAUCAAGAUUUCGGAGAAAAGGGGACUGAAGAAGGCAGCUUCAUCAUUCUCCCAGCCAGGUCAUGUAGCUGAAAAGCAGCCACAAUUUCCAAAGUCAGAAAGUGAGGGCAUGUGUGGAGGAGAGAUGCUGGGUAUACUGGGAGAAGGAUGCUGAAUAUGGAGCUGCCAGGGAAGAGGAAAAGAGGAAGGCCAAAGAGGCGAUUUAUGGAUGUGGUGAGGGAAGACAUGCAGGUGGCUGGUGUGACAGAGGAAGAUGCAGAGGACAGGAAGAAAUGGAAAUGGAUGAUCCGCUGUGGCGACCCCUAAUGGGAGCAGCCAAAAGUAGUAGUAGUAGUUGUAGUAGUAGAA